AAGNCGAACGGUAACAGGCCUUCGGGCGCUGACGAGUGGCGGACGGGUGAGUAACGCGUAGGAAUCUGCCUCAUAGUGGGGGACAACGUGGGGAAACUCACGCUAAUACCGCAUACGCCCUACGGGGGAAAGGAGGGGAUCUUCGGACCUUUCGCUAUGAGAUGAGCCUGCGUUAGAUUAGCUAGUUGGUAGGGUAAAGGCCUACCAAGGCGACGAUCUAUAGCUGGUCUGAGAGGACGAUCAGCCACACUGGGACUGAGACACGGCCCAGACUCCCACGGGAGGCAGCAGUGAGGAAUAUUGCACAAUGGGGGAAACCCUGAUGCAGCAACGCCGCGUGGAGGAUGACGCAUUUCGGUGUGUAAACUCCUUUUAUGAGUCAAGAAAAUGACGGUAGCUCAUGAAUAAGCACCGGCUAACUCCGUGCCAGCAGCCGCGGUAAUACGGAGGGUGCAAGCGUUACUCGGAAUCACUGGGCGUAAAGGACGCGUAGGCGGGUUGGUAAGUCAGAUGUGAAAUCCUACAGCUCAACUGUAGAACUGCAUUUGAAACUACCGACCUAGAGUAUGGGAGGGGGAGAUGGAAUUAGUGGUGUAGGGGUAAAAUCCGUAGAUAUCACUAGGAAUACCAAAAGCGAAGGCGAUCUUCUGGAACAUUACUGACGCUAAGGCGUGAAAACCUGGGGAGCAAACAGGAUUAGAUACCCUGGUAGUCCACNCCCUAAAC
rnacentral:rRNA from 1 species